rnacentral:rRNA from 1 species
CAGCAGCCGCGGUAAUACGUAGGUGGCAAGCGUUGUCCGGAAUUAUUGGGCGUAAAGGGCUCGCAGGCGGUUUCUUAAGUCUGAUGUGAAAGCCCCCGGCUCAACCGGGGAGGGUCAUUGGAAACUGGGAAACUUGAGUGCAGAAGAGGAGAGUAGAAUUCCACGUGUAGCGGUGAAAUGCGUAGAGAUGUGGAGGAACACCAGUGGCGAAGGCGACUCUCUGGUCUGUAACUGACGCUGAGGAGCGAAAGCGUGGGGAGCGAACAGGAUUAGAUACCCGUGUAGUCCCUGUCUCUUAUAC